CCCUUAGACGUUCUGGGCCGCACGCGCGCUACACUGACCAGUGCAACAAGCAUCCGUCCUUGGCCGACAGGCCCGGGCAAUCUUUGAACGCUGGUCGUGAUGGGGAUAGACUUUUGCAAUUUUUGGUCUUCAACGAGGAAUUCCUAGUAAACGCAAGUCAUCAACUUGCAUUGAUUACGUCCCUGCCCUUUGUACACACCGCCCGUCGCACCUACCGAUUGAAUGAUCCGGUGAGGCCCCCGGAUUGUGGCAAUGGCUCUGGUUCGCCAGACCAAUGCUGCGAGAAGCUGUCCAAACCUUAUCAUUUAGAGGAAGGAGAAGUCGUAACA
rnacentral:rRNA from 1 species